rnacentral:rRNA from 1 species
UACGUAGGGUGCAAGCGUUGUCCGGAAUUAUUGGGCGUAAAGAGCUCGUAGGCGGUUUGUCGCGUCUGCUGUGAAAACUCGGGGCUUAACCCCGGGCCUGCAGUGGGUACGGGCAGACUAGAGUGCGGUAGGGGAGACUGGAAUUCCUGGUGUAGCGGUGGAAUGCGCAGAUAUCAGGAGGAACACCGAUAGCGAAGGCAGCUCGCUGGGACGGUAUUGACGCUAAGGCGCGAAAGCGUGGGGAGCAAACAGG